rnacentral:rRNA from 1 species
ACAGAGGGUGCGAGCGUUAAUCGGAAUUACUGGGCGUAAAGCGCACGUAGGUGGCGACGUAAGUCGGGUGUGAAAGCCCCGGGCUCAACCUGGGAAUUGCAUUCGAGACUGCAUUGCUAGAGUAUGGGAGAGGGAAGUGGAAUUUCAGGUGUAGCGGUGAAAUGCGUAGAUAUCUGAAGGAACAUCAGUGGCGAAAGCGACUUCCUGGACCAAUACUGACGCUCAAGUGCGAAAGCGUGGGGAGCAAACAGGA